ensembl:ribozyme
AGAGGUCACAAGUUUGCAGCCACAGCAGAAGUAUUCAUGGCACAGCCCUGUCGGAUCCUAAAGAAUCUGUGAAUUCUGCU